UGGGGAAUUUUGCACAAUGGGGGAAACCCUGAUGCAGCGACGCCGCGUGUACGAUGAAGAUCUUCGGAUGGUAAAGUACUGUCCUUGGUGAAGAUAAUGACUGUAACCAAGAAGCAAGCCCUGGCUAAAUACGUGCCAGCAGCCGCGGUAAUACGUAUGGGGCAAGCGUUGUCCGGAAUUAUUGGGCGUAAAGGGUACGUAGGCGGUUAUUUAAGUCUAAAUUAAAAGGCAUUGGCUCAACCAAUGUAAGGUUUAGAUACUGGAUAACUUGAGUAGAUGAGGGGAAAGUGGAAUUCCAUGUGUAGCGGUGAAAUGCGUAGAUAUAUGGAGGAACACCAAUGGCGAAGGCAACUUUCUGGAAUCAAACUGACGCUGAGGUACGAAGGCGUGGGGAACAAACAGG
rnacentral:rRNA from 1 species